AGUGAACGCUGGCGGUAGGCCUAACACAUGCAAGUCGAACGGCAGCACAGUAAGAGCUUGCUCUUACGGGUGGCGAGUGGCGGACGGGUGAGGAAUACAUCGGAAUCUACUUUUUCGCGGGGAUAACGUAGGGAAACUUACGCUAAUACCGCAUACGACCUACGGGUGAAAGCAGGGGAUCUUCGGACCUUGCGCGAUUGAAUGAGCCGAUGCCGGAUUAGCUAGUUGGCGGGGUAAAGGCCCACCAAGGCGACGAUCCGUAGCUGGUCUGAGAGGAUGAUCAGCCACACUGGAACUGAGACACGGUCCAGACUCCUACGGGAGGCAGCAGUGGGGAAUAUUGGACAAUGGGCGCAAGCCUGAUCCAGCCAUACCGCGUGGGUGAAGAAGGCCUUCGGGUUGUAAAGCCCUUUUGUUGGGAAAGAAAAGCAGCAGGUUAAUACCCCGCUGUUCUGACGGUACCCAAAGAAUAAGCACCGGCUAACUUCGUG
rnacentral:rRNA from 1 species